rnacentral:lncRNA from 1 species
UUCACUAGAAAGCAGUGCUUGAGAUCAUGAAUGAAUUCUAGACUAUUUUCACUAGAGAACAGUAGUUCAUUUCACAAAUUACAGUUUCCAACACGUUCACAUACCGGUACACACUGCACUUCACAUAUUACAAUUUAGGGCUUGUUCGGUUAUUCCUAUCCCAUGUGGAUUGGAUGGGAUUGGAAAAAAUUGUGAAAGAUUUUGACUUGUUUGGGAUUGAAACCCAUCCAAUCCCAUCCAAUCCACAUGGAUCGAGAGCUAAACGAACAAGCCCUUAAGUGGCUAGAUUACACUUUCUUCUUCUUCGGGGUGAUUUUUAACUAAACAUCUAACAAUGCGUGGAGACGAUGUUGCUCCUGCUGAAAUAGUACUACCAGCUUCUGUCGUAGCAAUCUGUGAUGAGACACCCCCAGCCCUCCCAUCACCACUUCUUCAGUCCUUGUAUUAGGAACCACUUCAUCAGUAUGUUACUGUCAUAUAGCCCGAAGCUCUUUAGGAACCACUUCAUCAGUACGUUGCCCGUGAACUAUCUCGUGUACAUGCAACCUAUAGAGCAUAAUGGAAUUAAAUAGUUUUGACCUAACCACAUAAGAAUCUAACUAGGUAUAUGCUCGUGUGUUGCUAUGAUAAAAUACAUUAAUAUACAAAAAAUAUUGUGUUUUAUAAUAUUAACUCCGUAGCAACACACGGGCAUAUACCUAUAACAUACAUAUGUACAUAAGUUAUCGUGUUAUUAUACGGUUCCGUUGCAACGCACGGGCACUCACCUAGUAAUGAUAGAAGAAAAGAAAAGGAAAAAUGCCAUAUGGCCACGUGAGUAGGGAGGACGGUUCUCUGACUUACGCAUGCUACCAAGAAAUUACAGAUGCAUGCACGUGGUGGGCCCCAUGAUGGUUUCUUCCUCAGGCUACACUGCAUGACACCAGCACGAGAAGAAACGACCUCGGCCGUAGCUCGCCGGCCGGGCAGCGGUCACGACGCAACGCAGAGACUUGCUGGUGGCGUGACGUGAGGCCGGAGACGGGCGGCGCCAGCGACCUGCAGCUUUUCUGUCGCUGCAGGAGAGGGAAGAGCCAUGGGAGGGCACGCGCGGGGCAGCUCGGUCGCGGGCUCGCCGCACGAGGGAGCAGGGUGCCAGACGCCUGGGCACGCUGGUGAGCCGUCACGCUAGCUAUCUGUCGCACUGGGCGGCUACCACGCCGCGCCCUGCGCAAGGGCCCGGCUGCGCCGCAGGGAGGAGCGCAGGGGUAGGGGACGAGGGCGCUAUUGGGGUCGUCCUGGCCUACGCGCGCAGAGACGAACGAAGGAGAGAAGGGCGAAAGGAACAUACCUGGUAACCAAAGGGCUUGCACAAUCUGG